AGAGUUUGAUCCUGGCUCAGGACGAACGCUGGCGGCGUGCUUAAUGCAUGCAAGUCGAACGAGAUCCUCCCGCUGGGUAACCAAUGGGAACGAUCUAGUGGCGAACGGGUGAGUAACACGUGAGGAAUCUGCCCCGAAGACCGGAAUAGCCCAGGGAAACUUGGAUUAAUACCGGAUACCCUCGUAGGACCGCAUGGUCUUGCGAGGAAAUGGUCCGCCGCUUCGGGAUGACCUCGGGUCCUAUCAGCUUGUUGGUGAGGUAACGGCUCACCAAGGCAAUGACGGGUAGCUGGUCUGAGAGGACGAUCAGCCACACUGGGACUGAGACACGGCCCAAACUCCUACGGGAGGCAGCAGCAGGGAAUAUUGCGCAAUGGGCGAAAGCCUGACGCAGCGACGCCGCGUGCGGGAUGAAGGCCUUCGGGUCGUAAACCGCUUUCAGUGGGGAAGAAGCGAAAGUGACGGUACCCACAGAAGAAGCCCCGGCCAACUACGUGCCAGCAGCCGCGGUAAUACGUAGGGGGCGAGCGUUGUCCGGAUUUAUUGGGCGUAAAGGGCUCGUAGGCGGCUUGGCAAGUCGGUCGUGAAAUUCC
rnacentral:rRNA from 1 species